GCUCUGAAAUUAAUCCAUAAGUAGUAUUGAGCCGGUUCUACUUUAUAUUAUGUUCAAGAUUUUACCUCAUAUGUUGUUGUACUAUUGCCCAGUGCUCCAAAUGGAAUUAAACAAACUUUUGUAAGCUCAAAGGAUUGCAGCUAAGCAUCUAAACAAGAAUAAACUCUCAUAAGUUCACGAACUAGGUGUUAGACAAGAGUCCACAGUACAAUGUAUCAGUAAUUAUCUUAAAAUAUUCUCUAUGUAAUUUACCACGUAUAGGACUCUUGUUGUUAAUGUAUUAUAAAACUUGUAUACGUUGAUGAAUGAAAGCAAACAAUUCCAACAUUUCCUCUACCUGUCAAUUAUUUUUUCACACAUUUCAUCGACUGAAUUAUUAAUGACAUGUCAUGGACACAUCGGUCAUUAAACUAAGGAGCGGACAUCAUGCAGAAAGAAUUUCACUACAUACGUAUAUAAAGGUCGUACCCAGUGCACAAGGCUCCCGCUUUACGCAGGGUCUGGGAGAGGUGAAUGUCGGCUAGCCUUACCCCCAUUUAUGGAGAGGCUGCUCCCAAGUCUCGAACCCGAGACCUACCGCUCAUGGGCGAAGGCACUUGCCAUCGCACCAAGUGCGACCUCUUCACUACAUACGUAUAUGUAUAAGAAAAAACUUACGCAAUAUCUUUAUUGCUGAGUCUGCCAUAAAGUCUCUGGUUUCCAUCUUUAAAGUGCUGGAGUAGUCCUUGAUGUUUGAUAUGUUAUAAUAAUUCAAUCCAAUGAAGUCAAAU
rnacentral:lncRNA from 1 species